GUGGCCGUAGCUCAAUGGCGGAGCCGCGGGUUGUGGUCCCGCUGGUGUCGGUUCGAUUCCGACCGGUCACC
rnacentral:tRNA from 1 species